rnacentral:piRNA from 1 species
UGUGCAUUGUGCCUCCCGUGUGGACGC